rnacentral:lncRNA from 1 species
CCUGGCAUCGCAGCCUUCUUGCCUCUGCUUUAUCUUGAGGUUGUUCCCCAAAUUCAAUGUACCUCAUGAUAGGCAUCAUCCAGCUCUUUUCAUCUUCUACCACACAAACUUCCAUCUCGGGAUCACUUAUACAUGGCUUUGAAACCGAUUCCAAUGGGAUUCCUCGUGGGAACUUUGGGCAUUCUGCAGCUGCCAGUCUCGCUAUAUAAUCUGCUCGGUAAUUCUCUCCCAUCGGAACCUGCUCCAUUGUAGCUUGAUCAAAGUUACCCCAUAGCUGCAGUGCUUUGCUCAAAUACUUAGACAUGUUCUCACUUUUGGCUUGAAAUGUCCCAUUCAGGUGGUUUACUACCAGUUGCGAGUCACUCUUCACAUUCAAAUGCCGAACCCCCAAUGCUCUUGCUAGUUUUAGACCCGCAAUGAGAGCUUCAUAUUCUGCUUCAUUGUUUGUAGGAUGAAAUUGAUACUUGAGAGCGUAGCAUACUUCUUCUUGGUCGGGCGAAACAAGAACAAUUCCUCCGCCUGACCCUUCCGGGUUUGCAGCUCCAUCUACAUUAAGCUCCCAUAUAUCAUUCUUCUUCUCUGCCUCUUUAAUCUCCUGCCCAGCAUUCAUCCCUUCAUUACCGUCACUGCAAUCAUUAAUGAAGUCGACCAGAGCUUGUGCUUUAAUUUCUAACCUCGGUCGGUAACUGAUGUCGAAUUCACUUAGCUCUACUGACCACUUAACCAACCUUCCUGAAAUGUCUGGUUUGUGCAAAAUUUGUCUUAAAGGUUGAUUGGUGACGACCACGAUCUCAUGAGCUUGAAAAUACGGCCUCAGUUUUCUUGCUGCUACAACUAAAGCCAUCGCCCACUUUUCUGCAAUAGGGUAUCUAACUUCCGCCCCUGUAAGAGAUCUGCUCGUGUAGUAUACAGGACGUUGGACUCCAUCUUCUUCUUUUACUAGGACCGAGCUAGUUGAAUAAUCAGAGACCGCCAAGUAGAUCAAGAGAACAUCGCCAACUAAGGGCUUAGCUAAAGUUGGUACGUUAGCCAAAUACGCCUUUAAUUGUUGAAAUGCUGUCUCACAUUCUUCCGACCACCUCAAUCUUUUUCCUUUCUUCAUCAAUUCAAAAAACGGAUGGCAUUUAUCUGAUGAUUUCGAAAUGAACCUGCUCAGCGCGGCAACUUUCCCAGCUAAGCUCUGAACAUCUUUAAGAUCCUUCGGCGACCUCAUCUUGAGAAUGACCUCUAUCUUUUCCAGAUUAGCCUCUAUCCCCCUCUGGCUAACUAGGAAGCCCAAAAAUUUCCCUGAUUCCACUCCAAAGGCACACUUUUCCGGAUUCAACUUCAUCUGAUUUUUUCGCAGAACCUCAAACGUCUCACGCAAAUGCGAUGUAUGUUUGACCGGCUCAACAGACUUGGUUAUCAUGUCAUCUACAUAUACCUCCAUCGUUUUACCAAUCAAGGGUUUGAAAAGUUUGUUUACUAACCUUUGAUAAGUAGCUCCUGCAUUUUUUAAUCCGAACGGCAUCACACGGUAGCAAUACAAUCCUUGCUCGGUCACAAAAGCUGUCUUUUCUUCAUCUGCUGUGGACAUACGAAUCUGGUUGUAUACUGAGAAUGCAUCCAUGAAACUCAUAAAGCCAUGCCCGGCUGUUGAAUCCACUAACUGAUCAAUCUUUAGGAGAGGAAAACUAUCUUUGGGACAAGCUUUGUUGAGGUCGGUAAAGUCCACACACAUCCUCCAUUUUCCAUUCGCCUUUUUAACCAUCACCACAUUCGAAACCCAUUCUGGAUAGUUCACUUCCCUUAUGAACCCCGCUUUCAACAAUUUAUCCACCUCAUCAUGGAUGGCCUCAUACCUUUCCUGGUUGAACACUCUUCUUUUCUGCUUCACAGGCUUAUGUUUUUUAUCUAUAGCCAACCGGUGACACAUGAUUCGUGGAUCUAUUCCCGGCAUGUCUUCAUGGAUCCAAGCAAAUAUGUCAUUAUACUCCACCAAUAAAUUCCGAAGCUCAUUGAAAAUGGCAUCCGUUAUCUUUGUUCCUACUCUCACUACUCUGCUCGGAUCAUCCUCAUUUACUUGCACUUGUUUCAUUUCUUCAUUAGGUCGUUGUUGGCAUAACCUAUUUUCAGCUCGUGGAUCGAUACUUGUGAUCUGCAUGGAUUCUCUCGCAGCUGUAGCGUAACAGCUUCGAGCUACUUGUUGCUGGCCCCUCAUCACUCCAACUCCACCUUGAACUCUAAACUUCACACAUUGCAUAUGGGUUGAGCUCACUGCUCCUGCUAUUCUAUUGAAUGGUCUGCCCAAAAUAACUUGAUAAGGGCUUGGCUCAUCAACUACCAACCAUGUCAGCAUCACUGUCUUUUGU